rnacentral:rRNA from 1 species
CAGUAGCCGCGGUAAUACGUAGGGUGCAAGCGUUAAUCGGAAUUACUGGGCGUAAAGCGUGCGCAGGCGGUUUUGUAAGACAGAGGUGAAAUCCCCGGGCUCAACCUGGGAACUGCCUUUGUGACUGCAAGGCUAGAGUACGGCAGAGGGGGAUGGAAUUCCGCGUGUAGCAGUGAAAUGCGUAGAUAUGCGGAGGAACACCGAUGGCGAAGGCAAUCCCCUGGGCCUGUACUGACGCUCAUGCACGAAAGCGUGGGGGCAAACAGGAUUAGAGACCCCUGUAGUCCCUGUCUCUUAUACA